AGACGGAUUAUGAAGAUAACCACCUGGUGCUCCAUGUCUGAAAGUCUAACCACCUUUACUGAAUUUUUCCAGCAGUCAUUAGGUUAAAUUCAACCUGUAACAAUGAAUUUCCUGGGCUUGUUCACUGGCAGCCAGCUCCUGCCAAGGACUUCUACAUUCAGGCAGUGGACAUAUUUCGUACCUGUCAUAUGAGGUGAACACCUGCUGCCUCUGGCUGCCCAUUUCUGUAAGGCUGCUGAUGUUCAGUAUUUGUUUUUUUCUUAGUGUCUAAGGAUGCCUGAGAGAUCAAGGCCGCUUCCAGUCAGGUAAUAAAAAGUUAGCCCUUGCCCCAGAGAGCUUAUGAAGCAGAAUCUUCAGAGAGGGAAUAAGGACUUUUUUCCCUGUUCCUGCUGACCUACAGAGUUUUGCUGAAAUGACAUCCCACUGUGAUACAGACAGGAGCAAGGAGCAUAAACAUGUGGCUCUAGCAAGAUGCAACUGCUUUAUUGUGGCCAGCCCCAGGAAUGACUGUGACCUUCAGCACUGCCUCCAAGGACAUUCAACAUUAGCCACUUACGUGCUUAUCAGCAGAUGGGGAUGAAAAUCAGAGGAAAGGAAGGCAUGGGCUGAAAGACAAGGCAGUGACAAGUGAAAACCUCAACUGGGUGGCUGAAGAAGCAGGAGACAGUGAGAGGACAAGUGAGAGCAGAACACCUCUGUGAUAUUUAGGAAGAAACAGCUGUCACUUCUAGAAGCCUCCUGCUUUUCUGUCAAAUUUCAAGAAAAACAUUGAAUACAGGACAAUAUUAAACCCAGUUUUCCAUGAAAGGAUUCAACUGCUAAAGUGGGAGGUGACUGUGCUGCUGCAUUUGGGAACCUUUUGGAGUUGAGGCAGUUCUGAUGAAGAUAUUUAUCCAGAAGGGAACUAUCAUCUGUGCAAUAUCAAAGAAUUGCAAAUGUGCGGAUCCUCUCUCAGCGAUCAGUUUGGAGAGGUGGCUCUGCUACAGCAAGAUUUUGGGGAAGCUGGAAACAAAUGAGAUUGUCAUGACUUAGUCCAAGGUAUAUAGAGCUCCAGUAUUUAUUACAUACUGGUUUUAUAGGAGGAUGAUUUUGAUCACACAAAUAAAUAGAAACUACAGUGUUCAAGGGUAUACUUUGAGAAAAUGAUCAUUCCCCUUUCCCUGAGAGACAUACAUAUGGGUUGCAUUUGUUCCUGACAGCAUGCAAGAGCUUCCUGAAUUUUGGGAACAAUUUGAAUUGGAUUUAUAACCCAGAAAUGGAGACCAAGAGAAGAAGGAAUAAUCCCAGGAUGACUUCUGUCACUCUUAGUGUGGCCUUCAAGCUGUGACUCCUCCACGAGUCUCCUCAGUAUAACUGGGAUGAGACUUCUGAGAGUAAAGAACAACAUGGAUUGCUUCCAAUUGAUUUUGCUUCCCACAAGCAAUCAAAGAGUUAAUCCUCCAGUAUUUCCACAAUCUCAAAUUGCCCCAAACCUGCCUUUUUAGAUGCAGCUCUCAAUAACCAGAGAUACCAUAUUACCUCCCAACUUUUGUCAUCUCAGAGUAGGAAGAAAAAGAGGUUAGGUUUUAUCAGUCUUUUUGUCACUGAAGACAAGAGGAGAAGAAGGUGGUAGAGAAGAAUUCUAACUGCUGCUUCUGCCUCCCUUUUUCCUAUGUUAUGAGGAAAGCCUGAACAACUAAAUCAAAACCCCCAAUAUCUCUCAAUCCAGUUUUGUCCUGUCUAGUUAUAACAGGCAAGACACACAGCAACAAACCAAGUGCUCCUGCAGCCAUACCUGUUGCAAGCCUUCCUAUACAUUGGACUUUCCUAAAUGCAAAAACCUAAUUCAUACUAAAACAAAUAAAACAUUGGCUUGCCAGGUUUUACUUAAAACUGACACACAGAGGAAACAGAUCUUUGGAUCAACAGGGGUUUCUGUUUGUUUGGGUUUUUUUUCCUAGUAACUUUAAAGUUC